GACGAACGCUGGCGGCGUGCUUAACACAUGCAAGUCGAACGGGGAAGUGCCUUUGUUUUUGGUGGGCGAGGAUGAGGGGCGAACGGGUGAGUAACACGUUACUAACCUGCCCCCUUCUACAGGAUAACCGCAUGAAAGUGUGGCUAAUACGGGAUAUUCUGGGUCUGUCGCCUGGUGGGUCUGGGAAAGUUAUUGAGUCGGUGGGGGCCGGGGUGGGGGCGUAUGAGCGUGUUGGCGGGGUGAUGGCCUACCAAGGCGGUGACGGGUAGCCGGGCUGUGAGGGUGGGCGGUCACACUGGGACUGAGGGACAGAACGGGCUUGUGCGGGAGGCAGCAGUGGGGAAUGAUGCACAAUGGGCGAAAGCCUGAUGCAGCGGCGCCGCGUGAGGGAUGGAUGCCUUGGGGUUGAGGAACGCUUUCGGAAGUGAAGGAGGCCUGCGUAGUUUGUAGGUGAGUUGACGGUAGCUGGAUAGGAAGCGCCGGCUAACUACGU
rnacentral:rRNA from 1 species